rnacentral:lncRNA from 1 species
UGUAGCCACGGAUGGGAAAAACACAAAGAGGGCAAGAUCAGCACAAAAAGAUAAAUAUCAUAGAAGUAUCUGAAAAAAAAGAGAUUUAGUUGCCUAAAAAGUUGUGGUAGCAGCGGAUUGAAUCCAGGACCACUUGCUGUAGGAUCAGUAUCUUGGCCUUUCCUAUAACAGAUAGGGAAAGAAUGCAGUAUCAGCACAAAAGGUGCGUAUCAUAAUAGUAUCUAAAAAUGAGAUUUGGUUGCUUAAGAAAAGUUGAGCUAGCAGCGUAUCAAACCCAUGUCCACUUCCUUUAGGAUCAGUGUCUUCCUGUAGGAUUUGCUCUUGUUUUUACUAUUUGAACCAGUCUGUUCUGUUCAUGAUGGUCUCAAUCAAGCCUGAGUUGAAGAUGAACACCAUAGGCUUGGAACCUGUUGAGACUCUAGGGAAUGUUAUAUCAAACACUAUUAAUUCAUUUUAUGUAGGGUAAUUCAGCAAUAAUUAUUUAUUUCUUUGCUUUAUUGAUAUACUGAUAUGUACUUAGGAUGUCACUUUACUGAAAUAGUUAUCCUUGUGAAAUUAUUAUUAUUUAGCAAUAAUUAUUUAUCUCUUUGCUUUAUUGAUAUACUGAUAUGUACU